UAACUUACUACUGCCGCUUUACA
rnacentral:miRNA from 1 species